rnacentral:rRNA from 1 species
UACGUAGGGUGCGAGCGUUGUCCGGAAUUAUUGGGCGUAAAGAGCUUGUAGGCGGUCUGUCGCGUCUGCUGUGAAAAUCCGGGGCUCAACCCCGGACUUGCAGUGGGUACGGGCAGACUAGAGUGUGGUAGGGGAGACUGGAAUUCCUGGUGUAGCGGUGAAAUGCGCAGAUAUCAGGAAGAACACCAACGGCGAAGGCAGCUCGCUGGGACGGUACUGACGCUGAGACGCGAAAGCGUGGGGAGCGAACAGG